UUGCUGUAGAGAAGUGCAUGCUUCUCCUGACGAGUCGGAAACGACGAAACAGCAC
rnacentral:hammerhead_ribozyme from 1 species